ACUUGUUUCCACAUAGGGAAACAUAGUCAUAGAGUCUAGGGAUGAGGAUGUGAACAACUCGGGAGUGGGUGGGCAUUAUUUUUCUUACUGAACCUGGCUAAUGUUAAUUCAAACAAAAAGGCGAAAUAAAGAAGUUACUUGAGAUACAGUCACCCAACUGUGCAGCAUUCUGAAGGUCAGAUGAAAUCAGAAAUGAAGAAAUGUGGGGAAACCAUGAGGAUUGCAGAGGGCUCAUCUGUCAGGAUCACAGAUGCAAUGGCUGAAGCUUAA
rnacentral:lncRNA from 1 species